rnacentral:rRNA from 1 species
AGUGGGGAAUAUUGGACAAUGGGCGAAAGCCUGAUCCAGCCAUGCCGCGUGUGUGAAGAAGGCCUUCGGGUUGUAAAGCACUUUCAGUGGGGAGGAAAGGUUGAUGGUUAAUAGCCAUGAGCUGUGACGUUACCCACAGAAGAAGCACCGGCUAACUCCGUGCCAGCAGCCGCGGUAAUACGGAGGGUGCAAGCGUUAAUCGGAAUUACUGGGCGUAAAGCGUGCGCAGGCGGUCUGUUAAGCGAGAUGUGAAAGCCCCGGGCUCAACCUGGGAACUGCAUUUCGAACUGACAGACUAGAGUCUUGUAGAGGGGGGUAGAAUUCCAGGUGUAGCGGUGAAAUGCGUAGAGAUCUGGAGGAAUACCGGUGGCGAAGGCGGCCCCCUGGACAAAGACUGACGCUCAUGCACGAAAGCGUGGGGAGCAAA